GCGGCAGGAUUGGCGGCGGCCCACAGCGUGCGCCUGGCGCGGGGGGACCUGUGCGCUCUGGCCGAACGCCUGGAUAUCGUGGCUGGCUGCCGCCUGCUGCCCGACAUCCGCGGCGUGCCGGGAACCGAGCCGGAGCGAGAGCCGGGACCGCUGGCCUAGCCAUGACCCACUCUCCCUCCUGACUAUGUCCUGGGGGCCAAGCUCCAGAGACAAGAUGAGCCUCCUCCUGACUCUCCAGGCUGAGACCCCUGUGACACUCAAGGCCCAAAACAGACUUGCCCUGGAACUUGGGGCACAAGAUGACACCACUUUGCAGAUAAGGACCACGUGCAUUGUGUCUGUUCAUCAUGUUGGCCCUUCAGCGCUUAAAGGACUUGGAUUUCUGGGGCUCAGGGCCUGGGGUUAGCUCCUUUCUUCUCACCUGCUCCAUCUUCCCCUCCCAGCCCUAGUCCCUAAGUCCCAUUCACGUGCAUUCCCCUACCCCACUCUCUUAUUAUCCCAACCGGAAGCCGAGAUCUGAGCCCCCAGGAUGGGGAAGUGGGGAAGAGUGCUGUGUGGCUGACUCAGCAGACUCACUGGAUAGCCUCUCCCAACUGCAGAGGAGGCAGCCGCACUGCCUGUGUUCUGGAAGAAGCCUGGGAAUUCAUCCUGGGGCUGAGUGGAGGGGAAAUAAGAGGUUAUUUGGCCUGGGGUGGGGUGGGAGGAUUACAUUCUGCAAAUGGGAGGAUUGAGAGAAUGAAUGUACACUCUUUCUCUACCUGACCUAAAACAGAAAAAUGGAGAAAGAAACUUCCUAUUAGGGUUGGCUGUUGCAGUGCCUUGAGCCCGGUCGGUUUACACCCCCACCCCCAACUCCCUGUGGAAGUGACGGCUUCCUUCCAAUGGCAAACCCAGCAUCAGCCAUGGGUCUUAUCUUUGCCAAUCUGAGAGGUGAAAAAUGGUACUCGGUGUUGACUGAAAUAAAAUGCACAACCUAAAAA